rnacentral:rRNA from 1 species
UACGGGGGGUGCAAGCGUUGUCCGGAUUUACUGGGCGUAAAGAGCGUGUAGGCGGCCUCACAGGUCCGUUGUGAAAACUGAAGGCUUAACCUUCAGACGUCGACGGAAACCGUGUGGCUAGAGUCCGGAAGAGGAGAGUGGAAUUCCUGGUGUAGCGGUGAAAUGCGCAGAUAUCAGGAAGAACACCAAUGGCGAAGGCAGCUCUCUGGGACGGUACUGACGCUGAGACGCGAAAGCGUGGGGAGCAAACAGG